AUUGAACGCUGGCGGCAGGCCUAACACAUGCAAGUCGAGCGAGCGGCGGACGGGUGAGUAAUGUAUGGGGACUGCCCGAUAGAGGGGGAUAACUACUGGAAACGGUGGCUAAUACCGCAUACUAUCGGAUAACCCAUAUGGGAUUAGCUAGUAGGUGGGGUAAAGGCUCACCUAGGCGACGAUCUCUAGCUGGUCUGAGAGGAUGAUCCGCCACACAUGGACCGAGACACGGGCCCAACUCCUACGGAGGCCACAGUGGGGAAUAGUGCCACAUGGGCGACAGGCUGAUGGAACCAUGCCCGGGUGAAUAAGAAGGGCUUAAGGUUGUUAAGGACUUUCAGCGGGGAGGCGUUACCCGCAGAAGAAGCACCGGCUAACUCCGUGCCAGCAGCCGCGGUAAUAC
rnacentral:rRNA from 1 species